GCAGCACAGAGAAGCUUGCUUCUUGGGUGGCGAGUGGCGAACGGGUGAGUAACAUAUCGGAACGUACCGGGCAGUGGGGGAUAACCAAUCGAAAGAUUGGCUAAUACCGCAUAUUUUCUGAGGAAGAAAGCAGGGGACCUUAUGGCCUUGCGCUGUCUGAGCGGCCGAUAUCUGAUUAGCUGGUUGGUGGGGUAAAGGCCUACCAAGGCGACGAUCAGUAGCGGGUCUGAGAGGAUGAUCCGCCACACUGGGACUGAGACACGGCCCAGACUCCUACGGGAGGCAGCAGUGGGGAAUUUUGGACAAUGGGCGCAAGCCUGAUCCAGCCAUGCCGCGUGUCUGAAGAAGGCCUUCGGGUUGUAAAGGACUUUUGUCAGGGAAGAAAAGGAUAGGGUUAAUACCCCUGUCUGAUGACGGUACCUGAAGAAUAAGCACCGGCUAACUACGUGCCAGCAGCCGCGGUAAUACGUAGGGUGCGAGCGUUAAUCGGAAUUACUGGGCGUAAAGCGGGCGCAGACGGUUACUUAAGCAGGAUGUGAAAUCCCCGGGCUCAACCUGGGAACUGCGUUCUGAACUGGGUGACUAGAGUGUGUCAGAGGGAGGUAGAAUUCCACGUGUAGCAGUGAAAUGCGUAGAGAUGUGGAGGAAUACCGAUGGCGAAGGCAGCCUCCUGGGAUAACACUGACGUUCAUGCCCGAAAGCGUGGGUAGCAAACAGGAUUAGAUACCCUGGUAGUCCACGCCCUAAACGAUGUCGAUUAGCUGUUGGGCAGCUUGACUGCUUGGUAGCGAAGCUAACGCGUGAAAUCGACCGCCUGGGGAGUACGGUCGCAAGAUUAAAACUCAAAGGAAUUGACGGGGACCCGCACAAGCGGUGGA
rnacentral:rRNA from 1 species